CUUGGUCAUUUAGAGGAAGUAAAAGUCGUAACAAGGUUUCCGUAGGUGAACCUGCGGAAGGAUCAUUACCUAGAGUUGCGGGCUUUGCCUGCCAUCUCUUACCCAUGUCUUUUGAGUACCUUACGUUUCCUCGGCGGGUCCGCCCGCCGGUUGGACAACACUUAAACCCUUUGUAGUUGCAAUCAGCGUCUGAAAAAACUUAAUAGUUACAACUUUCAACAACGGAUCUCUUGGUUCUGGCAUCGAUGAAGAACGCAGCGAAAUGCGAUAAGUAGUGUGAAUUGCAGAAUUCAGUGAAUCAUCGAAUCUUUGAACGCACAUUGCGCCCCUUGGUAUUCCAUGGGCAUGCCUGUUCGAGCGUCAUUUGUACCUUCAAGCUCUGCUUGGUGUUGGGUGUUUGUCUCGCCUCUGCGCGCAGACUCGCCUCAAAACGAUUGGCAGCCGGCGUAUUGAUUUCGGAGCGCAGUACAUCUCGCGCUUUGCACUCACCACGACGACGUCCAAAAAGUACAUUUUUUACACUCUUGACCUCGGAUCAGGUAGGGAUACCCGCUGAACUUAAGCAUAUCAAUAAGCGGAGGA
rnacentral:rRNA from 1 species